UGGGGAAUCUUGGACAAUGGGGGCAACCCUGAUCCAGCCAUGCCGCGUGGGUGAAGAAGGCCUUAGGGUUGUAAAGCCCUUUCAGUCGUGACGAUGAUGACGGUAGCGACAGAAGAAGCCCCGGCUAACUCCGUGCCAGCAGCCGCGGUAAUACGGAGGGGGCAAGCGUUGUUCGGGUUUACUGGGCGUAAAGGGCGCGUAGGCGGACGGUCAAGUCAGAGGUGAAAGGCCCGGGCUCGACCUGGGACGUGCCUUUGAAACUGUUUGUCUUGAGUGCGGGAGAGGGUGACGGAAUUCCCAGUGUAGAGGUGAAAUUCGUAGAUAUUGGGAAGAACACCGGUGGCGAAGGCGACUCACUGGACAGUUAUUGACGCUGAGGCGCGAAAGCGUGGGGAGCAAACAGGAUUAGAUACCCCUGUAGUCC
rnacentral:rRNA from 1 species